rnacentral:rRNA from 1 species
AGCGAACGCUGGCGGUAGGCCUAACACAUGCAAGUCGAACGGCAGCACAGUAAGAGCUUGCUCUUACGGGUGGCGAGUGGCGGACGGGUGAGGAAUACAUCGGCAUCUACUUUUUCGUGGGGGAUAACGUAGGGAAACUUACGCUAAUACCUCAUACGACCUACGGGUGAAAGCAGGGGAUCUUCGGACCUUGCGCGAUUGAAUGAGCCGAUGUCGGAUUAGCUAGUUGGCGGGGUAAAGGCCCACCAAGGCGACGAUCCGUAGCUGGUCUGAGAGGAUGAUCAGCCACACUGGAACUGAGACACGGUCCAGACUCCUACGGGAGGCAGCAGUGGGGAAUAUUGGACAAUGGGCGCAAGCCUGAUCCAGCCAUACCGCGUGGGUGAAGAAGGCCUUCGGGUUGUAAAGCCCUUUUGUUGGGAAAGAAAAGCAGCAGGUUAAUACCCCGCUGUUCUGACGGUACCCAAAGAAUAAGCACCGGCUAACUUCGUG